rnacentral:rRNA from 1 species
CCUACGGGAGGCUGCAGUGGGGAAUAUUGCACAAUGGGCGCAAGCCUGAUGCAGCCAUGCCGCGUGUGUGAAGAAGGCCUUCGGGUUGUAAAGCACUUUCAGCGGGGAGGAAGGCGGUGAGGUUAAUAACCUCAUCGAUUGACGUUACCCGCAGAAGAAGCACCGGCUAACUCCGUGCCAGCAGCCGCGGUAAUACGGAGGGUGCAAGCGUUAAUCGGAAUUACUGGGCGUAAAGCGCACGCAGGCGGUCUGUCAAGUCGGAUGUGAAAUCCCCGGGCUCAACCUGGGAACUGCAUUCGAAACUGGCAGGCUAGUGUCUUGUAGAGGGGGGUAGAAUUCCAGGUGUAGCGGUGAAAUGCGUAGAGAUCUGGAGGAAUACCGGUGGCGAAGGCGGCCCCCUGGACAAAGACUGACGCUCAGGUGCGAAAGCGUGGGGAGCAAACAGGAUUAGAUACCCGUGUAGUC